rnacentral:lncRNA from 1 species
GGGAAUCGAGAAAGACCUGAAUUCAGUCCUCUUCUGUCUGGAGAGAGGAGGGGAAUUCCUGCCGGGCCUUAUCUAUCAAGAACUAAGUCUCCCGCCCUCGCCCUCGCCAUUCCUUUCACUUCGCUCUUACGGAGCCUUAAUGGGCCACUUAAGGGAGAUUAGCCUGGAAGUGGAAGGUCUGUCCUAAUAACUAGGGAAGGGAAGACUCCUGUUGCCAUGACAUCCCGGAGGGCUCCUUCCUCCCGUGUUCCUCAUCCCCCUUCCCCUCCUCUCCGGAUGCAACCAGUCCUGAAAUCCCCGCUUUUCUCCCUGAACUCAAGGUAUAGGCAAAGGCAGCUCAAGCAUCUCAUCCGACGUGAGUUCAAGUACAGAUCACACGCCGACCCAAGCCCAGAAGAAUGUGGCUACCAGUGA